GUUUCCCAGCUCUUCUGGCAAGGAUGUGAGGAAAUUCCCAUCAAGACAUAAGGUCUGGAGACUGUGGCAGGCAAAGGGAAAAAGAGAAACAUUCAUGGAUGGAGAAUUGAGUCACCUAUUUAACAUUACAGAGGAGACACGACGGAAGUUUGCUGAUGCACACUGGGAUAUGCCAGGAAUUCUCCAUACUGAUCUCUAGGAAACUUUUGUGGAGAUACUCUGCAAUCCUCUACCAAAGGUUCCUUGGGAGGGCUGCCUUAUUUCUUCCCCCACACUUCUUCAGAUGUGGCCUUGAGGGUCUAUUCCUGCCCACCAGCUGAGCAGCACUGUCUGAUAAGGAGACGAACCAGGAUGAGAAAGGAAGAAAUGUUCAGGGAGGUGCUGCAAUUGUCUGAUGCUGCUGAUAGCGAGCAGAGAGCACUGACAGAGGCUAUAAAUGAAAAACUGAGAAUGGAUAGCCAGGAGAGGAAACAGGGGCAGGAGUGGAUGAUACAACUGCUUGAGGGCCAGCUGGACUUGCUGAGGUCCCUGAUUGUGCUGCAGGCGGAACACAUCCAUGCUUGUCUCCCCCUGCAACCCAAACAGAAACACCUUCUAUGCCUUCCCCAAACUCUCCCCCACACCCAUGCUUCGCGUGUUUCUGGUCCGUCGCAGUACCCCAUGCACUCCACCCAGUGAUAGGUGGACAUACACCCAGCUGUGAAAUCCUCAUUGUAAAA